rnacentral:rRNA from 1 species
AACGAACGCUGGCGGCAUGCCUAACACAUGCAAGUCGAACGAGACCUUCGGGUCUAGUGGCGCACGGGUGCGUAACGCGUGGGAACCUGCCUUUAGGUUCGGAAUAACAGUGAGAAAUUACUGCUAAUACCGGAUGAUGUCUUCGGACCAAAGAUUUAUCGCCUUUAGAUGGGCCCGCGUUGGAUUAGCUAGUUGGUGGGUAAAGGCCUACCAAGGCGACGAUCCAUAGCUGGUCUGAGAGGAUGAUCAGCCACACUGGGACUGAGACACGGCCCAGACUCCUACGGGAGGCAGCAGUGGGGAAUAUUGGACAAUGGGGCGAAAGCCUGAUCCAGCAAUGCCGCGUGAGUGAUGAAGGCCUUAGGGUUGUAAAGCUCUUUUACCCGAGAUGAUAAUGACAGUAUCGGGAGAAUAAGCUCCGGCUAAACUCCGUG